rnacentral:lncRNA from 1 species
UGGCCUGCCGCAUUACCCUCCUCCUACCUACAAAACCUCUCCUCCCCCAUCCCAUGUCUCCUACUCCAACUCUCCGCCUCCACAGACACCGGUUUACGCAAUUCCUCCUCCGCAUGGCUUGCCGCAUUACCCUCCACCUACCUACAAAUCCUCUCCUCCCCCAUCCCACUCCAACUCUCCACCAAUACCGACACCGGUUUAUGCAAUUCCACCUCCGCAUGGCCUGCCGCAUUACCCUCCUCCUACCUACAAAUCCUCUCCUCCCCCAUCCCACGUCCCCUACUCCAAUUCUCCGCCUUCACCGACACCGGUUUACGCAAUUCCGCCUUCGUCGCACCCGCAUCACAAACCAUUGCCGCCGUACCACACCAUUCCCGAGCACGCGCCGCCACCGCAGCAGCAUCACUACGGGGUACCACCGCCGCCCUACAACUAAGACCGGAAUAGAGGAAGAGCAUCAGAAAGAACAAGUUGAUUAUCUAGAAUUGUAUAACGUGUUCUUGGCUAUAUUUCGUGAAGAGUAGUGUGUGGUUCAGUACGUACGUAGUAUCCCAGAAUACGGAAUAAGAGAGGAAUGUUAAUUCGCAUUACCGAUCAGGCAUAUAAGUCCUAGAUUUGGUUUAGCCACGGUGUCUUUGUCGCGAUUGUAUCGUAAUCACUUUCUAAUGCAGCGUUUGUUUUAUAUUAUUUAA